rnacentral:rRNA from 1 species
UACGAAGGGGGCUAGCGUUAAUCGGAAUUACUGGGCGUAAAGCGCGCGCAGGCGGCAUGGCAAGUAAGGUGUGAAAUCUCCCUGCCUAACGGGGAGGGUGCAUUUUAGACUGCCAAGCUAGAGGACGGUAGAGGGGGGGUAGAAUUGCUGGUGUAGCGGUGAAAUGCGUAGAGAUCAGCAGGAAUACCCGUGGCGAAGGCGGCAUCCUGGACCAACACUGACGCUGAGUGAGCGAAAGCCAGGGGAGCAAACGGG